CGCGGGGCCGGUUGCCAUGGUUACCGGGCCUGGGAGCAGCAGCAGGUCAUUAGAACCACAACAACUGUGCAGGCGGGAACUGUAGAGGCUGGUUUACACUGGACAUGGACACGGAAUGCUGCAGCAGCAACAACUCAGAGCAUCGCUGGAGAACAGGAGCACUAGAGACCUUUCUUCAGAUUGAGAAUCAGGGGUUAAUGCAUCAAACAGGAAUAAUUAAAUGUAUGGAAUGAUGAGUCAUCUUUGGGUUUGUUGGUCCUGCAUCACCGGAGGAAUUAUGAAUGGAUAACAACUACAUAUUCCUAACAUUAAUGUCAACAAUUAAACAUUGGUCAAAAGAAGAUAUGGCCAGGUUGCAGAGAGAGGGAAGGGCAAAGCCAAAGAUGGAAUUGAAUGUGAAUCUCAUACAUUGUCAAGGCUCCGAAAUGGAAAGGACUUGAAUGCAGGCUCACUGAGAAGUACUAAAGAAAACCCAAAAUCCAUACACAAAUGGAACAACCGAAAGAUGCAGACCUGGAACCGACAGGACACAGAACUGAUUAGUCAACACCCAAUUGGUGUCGAUCUCAGGUGAGAAGACCUAAUGGUAUACACUGAAGAUAAUGAGGACCACGUGAGCAGACUUCUGAGUUAUACAAGAACAGCGAAUGCAGAGGUGACUACCCCAGCAACAAAACUGCUGAAUUAUGGCCCCCAGCAACAACAGAGAAAAAAAGCAGGAAGAUGUCAAUAUCGGAAAGAGCAGAUCUCCUCAACCAAGCAAAGCAAAGAACUGCAGGUGCAGGAUAUCUGAAAACUGGUGCUGCCUGAAUGGAAUCUGUACAUUCUCCCUGUGACCACGUGGGUUUUCUCUGGGUGCUCCGGUUUCCUCCCACUUUCCAAAGACGUCCAGCAAAUAUACUUAUGAAUGCAUACGAAUAUAAUCUGAUGAAAGCAGAUGGAACCAGUAUUUUGUUCAUUUUCUGGGAAUAUUACCAGCCUAACCAAGAAACUGUGCCACUAACAAUUGCUGCAAGGUGUUUAGCUAAAAUUCUAACUGGAUGGACUGUAUAAAUGGAGAGAGAAGAAACUGCAAGUUGGAGCUAUCACCUCUUAAACCAGGUGGUAAAAAUUCAAUGGCAAUCAAAUUAAAUUCAAUUACAUUUCUUAAAUGUACAAGGAGGAAUACAAGUGUUUUUUUGCCCCUUUAGGGUGACACGACAAUUUUAGCAGCAAGUAUUUCUGGGUCUGAGGAUGUUGUCAAGAUGGGGACUGGCCACAGUGCAUGCUCCGAAUUAGCUCAGAAAUUCUACCACUCCAUGACUCGUUAUAACACGACUCAGAAAGAAGCCACGCGCAUGCACACGCGGCCUACAGCGGUGGAGCAGCGGCGGAGGACAGCAACGGUAACGCUUGGCCAGGCCGACCCUGCAACGCUGCAAGGACAACAUGCCUUCAAGGUCAGGUCAAGAACCCUGGGACUUGAAAUUGUGGCGACUCUGUACAGUAUCUCUGUACUACUGCUGUACACUUGUACUGUAUCUGAGAUGCUUAUCUAAGAUGUAUCUAAGUGCAUAUGUCUAGUGAUACGUGCCCUGAACACUGUACCUCGGUACAUGUGACAAAUAAAGUACCAAUGAACAAUUGAAUCUAAUGUAAAAACGAGCAUUUUACUAAAGGAAAGGACAGUUCCUAGUGAUGGCAUAAUGUAACAUUUGUCCCUACUCUUGUUUCUUUCUCUACAGCAGCCACUACUUUGGGCACAAUUGCUGGCAUCUAUCAGGAAGCAACUGAAGCAUCAUAUACUAUGAUGUAGUUGACCAAGCCAUCAAGGUUUUGAAAGGAACCAAUUCACUGAUACAAUUGGUGGUC